UACGUAGGGUGCGAGCGUUGUCCGGAAUUAUUGGGCGUAAAGAGCUUGUAGGCGGUUUGUCGCGUCUGCUGUGAAAACCCGGGGCUCAACCCCGGGCCUGCAGUCGAUACGGGCAGACUAGAGUGCGGUAGGGGAGACUGGAAUUCCUGGUGUAGCGGUGAAAUGCGCAGAUAUCAGGAGGAACACCGGUGGCGAAGGCGGGUCUCUGGGCCGUAACUGACGCUGAGGAGCGAAAGCGUGGGGAGCGAACAGG
rnacentral:rRNA from 1 species